UGUACCAGUUGUUCCGCCAGGAGCAUCGCUGGGUAGCUACGUGCGGAAGGGAUAAACGCUGAAAGCAUCUAAGCGUGAAGCCCCCCUCAAGAUGAGAUUUCCCACACGCAAGUGGUAAGACCCCUUGAAGACGACGAGGUAGAUAGGCAGGAGGUCGAAGCGUAGCAAUACGUGUAGCUGACCUGUACUAAUCGGUCGAGGGCUUAUCCUAUA
rnacentral:rRNA from 1 species